GGGGGAGCGCCCUGCGGCCUCGGCUCCGCUCCGGUUCGCCUGGCCGCGCGCGGGCUUCUGGGAGGUGUAGUCCGGCCUUGUCCGCGCAGGCGCACCGCGGCCUGGAGGGCCUAGCGGGUGGGUCAUUGUCCUGGCACGUUUCGCAGUUUUCAGUGGCCCCCUGGACUGGUGUGAGCAGAAGCUGUGUGCUGUGAACAGGGAGGCGCAGACCAAAUGGCCGGCCAGCUCUGUUGGUCCCGCAGGACGGUCCUCUUCCCCUGAUGAUCGUGUCCCGGUGGAGAGAUGGCUGCUCAGCUGCCGACCGACGUACCGCUGGUCGUCCAGCUGCGCUGAAGGCAUGAUCCAGAUUUCCACAGCCACUCUGGAAGCUUCUCUGGAAGAGGCAGAGCAAAUGCAGCUGGGCAGCCCACGAUGGAGCCGGGAUCCUGCCUGGGAGAAGAGGGCUUCUGCAGGGACUCCGUGUACUGCCAUCUCCAAGUCCUGUUCCCUGGGGAGCUCACAGGUCCUGGGGUGAGUCUGGGGAGGGGAGGAGGUGUGCCUCAUGAGGCAUGUGCCCCGUGGGUAGGACUAGGGCAGGCGCCAGAGCUCCCCGUCUCUGGCUUGAGUCAGGCUGCCACCCUGCCUUCCACGUAAUGUGGCUCCGUGGACACCAGCGGGCUGCGUGGUGUGUGCCGAGCAUUGGCAGUUAGGCUGAGAAGGCCUUUCCUUCCCGCUUCUGGGGGCUCAGGGGCUUCAUUUCUUCCAAUCUUUUCAAAAUCACGAUUUUACUUCUCGAGAGUUAAGUAAACACAGUUUCCUUGUCGAAGGUCAAGGGCAUCAGCGGGUGGGAUCUGCUGCCGCCCACCCUUCAGCAGCCGCCUGCUGUCCAGGUGAGGGUGCUGCUGGGGUUGGCUGCAGGUGGGGAGUGACUGGGUUUGACGACUGUUCUUGACGCCGUUCCUUGCCCGAGGAAGAGUGUGGUGUGUACAGUGUGGGAACGAGGCGUCUCGGCCUUCCUGCCCUAGUGGGCCUGGGGAACGUCGCCCAUCUCGUGUGACAGUGCCAGAUGUGUCAGCUGAUGUCGGUGAGUAGUGAUGAUUAAAUGCCACAUUUCCUUAAUGCUACUGUGGCUUUCUUUUUUUUAAUUUUAGCAUUUCUCACAUUGAAAUAUGUCUGACAGUUAUCCAUCUACUUGGAUUCUCUUUUUUUAAGAUUUAAACAACUUGGGCUGGGG
rnacentral:lncRNA from 1 species